rnacentral:rRNA from 1 species
GGUUAAGCGACUAAGCGUACACGGUGGAUGCCCUGGCAGUCAGAGGCGAUGAAGGACGUGCUAAUCUGCGAUAAGCGUCGGUAAGGUGAUAUGAACCGUUAUAACCGGCGAUUUCCGAAUGGGGAAACCCAGUGUGAUUCGUCACACUAUCAUUAACUGAAUCCAUAGGUUAAUGAGGCGAACCGGGGGAACUGAAACAUCUAAGUACCCCGAGGAAAAGAAAUCAACCGAGAUUCCCCCAGUAGCGGCGAGCGAACGGGGAGCAGCCCAGAGCCUGAAUCAGUGUGUGUGUUAGUGGAAGCGUCUGGAAAGGCGCGCGAUACAGGGUGACAGCCCCGUACACAAAAAUGCACAUACUGUGAGCUCGAUGAGUAGGGCGGGACACGUGGUAUCCUGUCUGAAUAUGGGGGGACCAUCCUCCAAGGCUAAAUACUCCUGACUGACCGAUAGUGAACCAGUACCGUGAGGGAAAGGCGAAAAGAACCCCGGCGAGGGGAGUGAAAAAGAACCUGAAACCGUGUACGUACAAGCAGUGGGAGCACGCUUAGGCGUGUGACUGCGUACCUUUUGUAUAAUGGGUCAGCGACUUAUAUUCUGUAGCAAGGUUAACCGAAUAGGGGAGCCGAAGGGAAACCGAGUCUUAACUGGGCGUUAAGUUGCAGGGUAUAGACCCGAAACCCGGUGAUCUAGCCAUGGGCAGGUUGAAGGUUGGGUAACACUAACUGGAGGACCGAACCGACUAAUGUUGAAAAAUUAGCGGAUGACUUGUGGCUGGGGGUGAAAGGCCAAUCAAACCGGGAGAUAGCUGGUUCUCCCCGAAAGCUAUUUAGGUAGCGCCUCGUGAAUUCAUCUCCGGGGGUAGAGCACUGUUUCGGCAAGGGGGUCAUCCCGACUUACCAACCCGAUGCAAACUGCGAAUACCGGAGAAUGUUAUCACGGGAGACACACGGCGGGUGCUAACGUCCGUCGUGAAGAGGGAAACAACCCAGACCGCCAGCUAAGGUCCCAAAGUCAUGGUUAAGUGGGAAACGAUGUGGGAAGGCCCAGACAGCCAGGAUGUUGGCUUAGAAGCAGCCAUCAUUUAAAGAAAGCGUAAUAGCUCACUGGUCGAGUCGGCCUGCGCGGAAGAUGUAACGGGGCUAAACCAUGCACCGAAGCUGCGGCAGCGACGCUGAUGCGUUGUUGGGUAGGGGAGCGUUCUGUAAGCCUGCGAAGGUGUGCUGUGAGGCAUGCUGGAGGUAUCAGAAGUGCGAAUGCUGACAUAAGUAACGAUAAAGCGGGUGAAAAGCCCGCUCGCCGGAAGACCAAGGGUUCCUGUCCAACGUUAAUCGGGGCAGGGUGAGUCGACCCCUAAGGCGAGGCCGAAAGGCGUAGUCGAUGGGAAACAGGUUAAUAUUCCUGUACUUGGUGUUACUGCGAAGGGGGGACGGAGAAGGCUAUGUUGGCCGGGCGACGGUUGUCCCGGUUUAAGCGUGUAGGCUGGUUUUCCAGGCAAAUCCGGAAAAUCAAGGCUGAGGCGUGAUGACGAGGCACUACGGUGCUGAAGCAACAAAUGCCCUGCUUCCAGGAAAAGCCUCUAAGCAUCAGGUAACAUCAAAUCGUACCCCAAACCGACACAGGUGGUCAGGUAGAGAAUACCAAGGCGCUUGAGAGAACUCGGGUGAAGGAACUAGGCAAAAUGGUGCCGUAACUUCGGGAGAAGGCACGCUGAUAUGUAGGUGAAGUCCCUCGCGGAUGGAGCUGAAAUCAGUCGAAGAUACCAGCUGGCUGCAACUGUUUAUUAAAAACACAGCACUGUGCAAACACGAAAGUGGACGUAUACGGUGUGACGCCUGCCCGGUGCCGGAAGGUUAAUUGAUGGGGUCAGCGCAAGCGAAGCUCUUGAUCGAAGCCCCGGUAAACGGCGGCCGUAACUAUAACGGUCCUAAGGUAGCGAAAUUCCUUGUCGGGUAAGUUCCGACCUGCACGAAUGGCGUAAUGAUGGCCAGGCUGUCUCCACCCGAGACUCAGUGAAAUUGAACUCGCUGUGAAGAUGCAGUGUACCCGCGGCAAGACGGAAAGACCCCGUGAACCUUUACUAUAGCUUGACACUGAACAUUGAGCCUUGAUGUGUAGGAUAGGUGGGAGGCUUUGAAGUGUGGACGCCAGUCUGCAUGGAGCCGGCCUUGAAAUACCACCCUUUAAUGUUUGAUGUUCUAACGUUGACCCGUAAUCCGGGUUGCGGACAGUGUCUGGUGGGUAGUUUGACUGGGGCGGUCUCCUCCUAAAGAGUAACGGAGGAGCACGAAGGUUGGCUAAUCCUGGUCGGACAUCAGGAGGUUAGUGCAAUGGCAUAAGCCAGCUUGACUGCGAGCGUGACGGCGCGAGCAGGUGCGAAAGCAGGUCAUAGUGAUCCGGUGGUUCUGAAUGGAAGGGCCAUCGCUCAACGGAUAAAAGGUACUCCGGGGAUAACAGGCUGAUACCGCCCAAGAGUUCAUAUCGACGGCGGUGUUUGGCACCUCGAUGUCGGCUCAUCACAUCCUGGGGCUGAAGUAGGUCCCAAGGGUAUGGCUGUUCGCCAUUUAAAGUGGUACGCGAGCUGGGUUUAGAACGUCGUGAGACAGUUCGGUCCCUAUCUGCCGUGGGCGCUGGAGAACUGAGGGGGGCUGCUCCUAGUACGAGAGGACCGGAGUGGACGCAUCACUGGUGUUCGGGUUGUCAUGCCAAUGGCACUGCCCGGUAGCUAAAUGCGGAAGAGAUAAGUGCUGAAAGCAUCUAAGCACGAAACUUGCCCCGAGAUGAGUUCUCCCUGACCCUUUAAGGGUCCUGAAGGAACGUUGAAGACGACGACGUUGAUAGGCCGGGUGUGUAAGCGCAGCGAUGCGUUGAGCUAACCGGUACUAAUGAACCGUGAGGCUUAACCUU